AAACUAAAGAGUUUGAUCCUGGCUCAGAUUGAACGCUGGCGGCAUGCCUUACACAUGCAAGUCGAACGGCAGCACGGAGCUUGCUCUGGUGGCGAGUGGCGAACGGGUGAGUAAAAUAUCGGAACGUACCCAGGAGUGGGGGAUAACGUAGCGAAAGUUAC
rnacentral:ncRNA from 1 species